GAUGAACGCUGGCGGCGUGCCUAAUACAUGCAAGUCGAGCGAACAGACGAGGAGCUUGCUCCUUUGACGUUAGCGGCGGACGGGUGAGUAACACGUAGGUAACCUACCUAUAAGACUGGGAUAACUUCGGGAAACCGGAGCUAAUACCGGAUAAUAUUUCGAACCGCAUGGUUCGAUAGUGAAAGAUGGCUUUGCUAUCACUUAUAGAUGGACCUGCGCCGUAUUAGCUAGUUGGUAAGGUAACGGCUUACCAAGGCAACAAUACGUAGCCGACCUGAGAGGGUGAUCGGCCACACUGGAACUGAGACACGGUCCAGACUCCUACGGGAGGCAGCAGUAGGGAAUCUUCCGCAAUGGGCGAAAGCCUGACGGAGCAACGCCGCGUGAGUGAUGAAGGUCUUCGGAUCGUAAAACUCUGUUAUUAGGGAAGAACAAACGUGUAAGUAACUGUGCACGUCUUGACGGUACCUAAUCAGAAAACCACGGCUAACUACGU
rnacentral:rRNA from 1 species